rnacentral:tRNA from 1 species
ACCUGGGUGGCUCAGUCAGUUGAGCAUCUGACUUCAGCUCAGGUCAUGGUCUCCCGGUUCGUGGGUUAGAGCCCCAUGUCAGGCU